rnacentral:rRNA from 1 species
UCGACGGAGCACAGCAAUGUUGUUUAGUGGCGAACGGUCGCGUAACACGUAAGGAACCUGCCCUGAAGUGGGGGAUAACAGCCCGAAAGGGUUGCUAAUACCGCAUGAGAACCACCGCUCGCAUGUGUGGUGGUUGAAAGCCUUGUGCGCUUCAGGAUGGUCUUGCGGCCUAUCAGCUUGUUGGUGGGGUAAUGGCCUACCAAGGCUUUGACGGGUAGCUGGUCUGAGAGGACGAUCAGCCGGAUUGGGACUGAG